GCUACUUUCAGCCGGAACGCAUCUGUUUGAUACUGGUUAAAGACGAAUGAAUGUUUAGUUGAAUCUCUACUACACAGUUGAUACAGUAGUAGCUCAUGUGGAGAGAGAUAUGACAUGUAUGAGACUGAUUGUGAAUAAAUGUAGACUUAGUUGAGUGCAUCAUGGAUCUACUAAGUGAAAUAUAUGUACCAAAAAUAUUAGUUUAUUCAUAACUAAGCCUUUUUCAGCACUACAGUCAACAGAACAAUGAUAGUGACAAAAAUUGAGACUAUUUAAUACCUCAAACAAUGGGAAAAUACUUUAUGAGAUCAGUUCUCUACUACAUAGUUGAUACAGUAGGACAGGCUACAGAAAUAAGAAAACUGGCCUCUCUCAUCAGCAAUAGUGUGGCAAUUCUAAAUUUCAACAUGCAGCCUACACAGCUAGCUCAUGUGGAGAAGAGAUAUGAGACUGAUUGUGAAUAAAUGUAGACUUAGUUGAGUGAAUCAUGGAUCUACAAAGUGAAAUAUAUGUACCAAAAAUAUUAGUUUAUUUAUAACUAAGCCUUUUUCAGCACUGCAGUCAACAGAACAAUGAUAUAUAAGUGACAAGAGUUGAGACUAUUUAAUACCUCAAACAAUGGGAAAAUACUUCUUGAGAUCAGUUCUCUACUACGUAUACAUAGUUGAUACAAUAGGACAGGCUACAGAAAUAAGAAAACUGGCCUUUCUCAUCAGCAAUAGUGUGGCAAUUCUAAAAGUUCAACAUGCAGCCUACACCGCUAGCUCAUGUGGAGAACAGAAAUGAGACUGAUUGUGAAUAAAUGUCGACUUAGUUGAGUGAAUCAUGGAUCUACAAAGUGAAAUAUAUGUACCAAAAAUAUUAGUUUAUUUAUAACUAAGCCUUUUUCAGCACUGCAGUCAACAGAACAAUGAUAGUGACAAGAAUUGAGACUAUUUGAUACCUCAAACAAUGGGAAUAUACUUCUUUGGAUCAGUUCUCUACUACAUAGUUGAUACAGUAGGACAGGCUACAGAAAUAAGAAAACUGGCCUCUCUCAUCAGCAAUAGUGUGGCAAUUCUAAAAUUUCAACAUGCAGCCUACACAGCUAGCUCAUGUGGAGAACAGAAAUGAGACUGAUUGUGAAUAAAUGUAGACUUAGUUGAGUGCAUCAUGGAUCUACAAAGUGAAACAUAUGAACCAAAAAUAUUAGUUUAUUCAUAACUAAGCCUUUUUCAGCACUGAAGUCAACAGAACAAUGAUAGUGACAAGAAUUGAGACUAUUUAAUACCUUAAACAAUGGGAAUAUACUUCAUGAGAUCAGUUGUAAGUGGUUCUAUAUCAUGCAUGAAACAAUAAGGCCAAAAAAAAUACAUGUCUGUUUCCUGCUGCAAAGGCAAAAAAAUCAGGGUCAGUAGGUCGGGGUUUUUUUUUAAAGUUAUUUUUUGCACUCCCUGUCAGAUUUGCAGAUGGUUAAAUGUCAUGUUUGGUUAGGUUGCUGUACCCUAAAAUCAUACAAUCUCUUUAACAGGUCGAGAACACUAGAUUCUCUGACGUCAGAAUAUAUUUGCAUAGUAAUUUCAAAAACACAAGGCCAAUAUGGCCUUGAAAAACUGACCAAUCGACUCAAUGAACUACAAUGCAUUGUGGGCUACUACGAGUAAACUACUACUUAAAACACGUGGAAUUAGUGGGAAAACAGUCAACUAAUAUACUGUCUGGGACUCUCAUUACCAAAGUUUUUAUUCUGCAAAUAUAUUUAAUGUAAAAUAUAUAACGUAAUCUUCAAUUUGCAUGCUCAGAUUAAAAAAAUAUUAUUUAUUGGCUUCACUAUUCGACUUUCUUUUUCGCCUUUCAAAAGUAGUUGAACCGGUUUUGUGCAUUGUUAUGAAUUGAACCUGCAUUAAUUUCACGACAUGACAAUGAAAUAUCCAAUGAAGUGACCACUGUCCAGUAAGAAAAUCAUUAGAGCUCUUUUAAACCUGUAUAAUGUCAUUCCAAAAUCAUUUCUGACUAGAAAAUCACGAAAAAUUUCAUUGAAACACUUCUUUCUCUACUGAAUGUGUAUUUUUUUUAUCAGGACCUGAACUAAUAGUAAGAACAUCAUAAUAUUCAGUAUGCUAAGAAUAAGUGUUAAGAACGCGGCAGGGACGUAUCCAGUCAUUUUAAAAAGAGGGUUCUAACCCUGGACAAUAGGGGAUAGGGUUUCAACUACAUGUGCCGAUCCAAACGCACUGAUCGUCUAAAAAAGGGGGGUCCAUCCCCGGGAACCCCCGCUUCCUGGAUCCGCCACUAAGCGGGUACGGUAUAUAGCUCAAUACAUUUUUUUUUAUAGUUUCAUCCAUCGAUUAUAUCCGUUUGUUGCUAAUUUUAUCACAAAAUAUACCUCAGAGGUAUUUUAUCGUUCGGCUGCUGUUCUGUUGACAUAUGUAAAAUAUUCUCAAUAUUAAAAGUCUCUGGAUCAUAGUGGGUGCCAUAUUACCUAUUAUUUUUUUUUCUUAAACGUGCUUUGUAUAUAGAAAUAGGAAGAUGAGGUAUGAGUGCCAAAUGAAACAUCUUUCCAACAAAGACACAAUUUAGUAAAGUAAGCAGUUAUAGGUUCAAUGCUGAAAAGUAAGCUAUUAAUAACUUGUGUAAAUCAAUCCAAACAAAAAAACAAAAAAAACCGGCCCAAUUAAAUAUAUAAAAGGACAAGAAAUCUAUCCGAGAAAAAAAAAUAUAUUGUAUAGGAGCCUGUAUUUCAGUGGUUGUCGUUUGUUUAUGUGUUACAUAUUGGUGUUUUGUUCUUAUUUUUUUUUUUUAAUGAUUAAGGCCGUUACUUUUCUCGUUUGAAUUGUUUUACAUUGUCAUAUCGGGCCUUUUAUAGCUGACUAUGCGGUAUGGGCUCAUUGCUGAAGGCCGUACAGGCAUCUAUAAAUGUUAAUUUCUAUGCCAUGUUGGUCUCUUGUGGACAGCUGUCUCAUUGGCAAUCAUAUCACAUCUUCUUUUUUAUUAUAGAUCAAACGCUGCAAUUUUCACAAAACAUAUAUAUUUUCCACCUUGUCGCACAUACAUAUGGAUAAAAUCAU